AUUGGUUACUAGAUCAUAUGUUGUGAUUCUUUGAUGAGAAAAUUGUUGGUGUGGACUAUGAGAGAAUUCUUUGCUCCAUAUCAAAUGGAACGUUGGAUAUUUGAUGUAAACUGAGGGCAGAAGAUACAUUAGCUUGAAAACAUGCACCACCAGGCUCAAGAUUGAAUUAAACCACUUUCAACCUUAAACAAGAGAAAAUCUGCAGAUGCUGGAAAUCCGAGCAACACACACAAAAUGCUGGAAGAACUCAACAGGCCAGGCAGCAUCUGUGGAAAAGAAUACAGUCGACACUUCGGGCCGAGACCCUUCAUCAGGUCUAGAGAUAAAAGAUGAGAAUCCCAAAUAAGAAGGUUUUGGUCAUCAUGAUCACCAGUUAUUGCCAAGCUUUUUUGAUAAGUUUGGGAAAGGCAUAUUUAUCUACUGAAGAGUCUCUGAGAAGGAAUCCUUUCCUUGGAACCGUCCAGCUACUGUGGCAUUGACCAAGACAAGGGAGAUCUGGAUGUCAAAGAUACAGCUGCUAUUAUGGGCAUCAGACCAAUGAGAGAGAGUUCAGAUUUACAGUAGGCACUUGCAAGCAAAGAGUUUGCUUUUUUCAUGUGGCAUUUCUUGAACUCCAGCCAAUCUUUCCACUUCCACAAAUGUAUUGUAUAUCAAAGUUCAAAGUAAAUUUAUUACCAAAGUUGUUAUGUUUUGUAACCUCAAAACAUUAAACUAAUUCAAGGAAAGACUCGGGAGUCUGA